GAGCAACCACUGUCAAGUAAAAAAUAGUCAGGUAUGAGUCCUUCCCUUAAGCUUCCUCUUUCAUAUUUCUUUCCUUUAGUAUGCCCUUUCUUUUUUUUGUUCAAAGUUUCAGCUUCUUCAUAGAUCCCCAUUUUAAGUUGUUUCUCAUGAAGGCUAAAAAUUUUGGUAGAGGCAAUGGAACCACUUUAUCUGUUGGGGAUAUCAGAACUAAUGUAAUUGUGAGGUGCUUUAGCUCUACGCCUCUUGACUCUGGAAAGUAAGAAAUUGACCCUUUGGCUGGUUUGUGGUAAGGGAACUGGCUUCCUCCUAGUUUGAAUAUUCUUGUAAUGACAAUAUGGAUCUGUGCUUCCAUGAGACAACUUCUUGUCGGAGCUUGCUUGCCUAAUCCAAAAGUACAUUAUAAGCAGCCUCCACUUUUUUUUAUCCAAAUUCUCGUCUACAGGCUUUCCAUCAUCCCGAAAGCUAGAAUCAUCAACAACAUGACCAAAUAUAUCAACAUUGGAGGUCCAAAACACAUACAAGAAUAACAUGACUCCUUAUUUAACAUUCCAAAACUCAAUCGUUUUACUGUGUCCAACUUUUGUUGAGGGAACUCUAGAAUGAAUCUAAUAGAACCACUCUUAAAAACUCUGAGAGGAACGGUGAAAAAUGCCAUAUCUCGCUCAAAUAAUUGGCCCCAAUAAUUUACCUUCACACUGUCUCUACCAUAACGAAUGGCAUGCACACUUUUUUCAAAAAUAGUAGCCACAUUUUGAGUCAGGGCAUCAACUAAUAUUCCGUUACCACCUGGCAAGAAGCAGUGAUCCCCUCCCAUAUCAUAGGGGUCAUCUUGGUCCCAAACUAUUAAGGAAAGCUGUGAAAGCAAACCUGCAUUUGCAUAUUCCAAAUUUUCCAGCUACUAGUUAAACAAGCCAAUCUCCUCAACAUUCAUUGCAACACCAAAAUCCUUUCGCAAAGUCUCCAAUGUCUCUACCAGAGAACAACCUGAGAUAACUCUUGCCUAGCCUUUCUUGCCUUUUCCAAAAGUUCGUUGUAAGAAGCCUCUACUUUUUAUCCAAAUACUCGUCUACGGACUUUCCAUCAGCAUGAUAGAGUGGACAUUGGUGUUUCACCUUAUGAAGUGUAUACGAAAUAUGUUGCACCAAAAAAUCAAGUGGAUUCCCCAGUGUACCUUUCAAAACACUCCCUCCUACAUUAACAACUGCCACACUAUUCCCUCCUUCCAUCUUUUUUGUAUACACCCUUUUACCUCUACGAUUUUGUCCCUCCAAAAUUAUCACACCCCGAGAAUACCCCUAGACAUAACACAAGACAUAGGAUCACGAGUGACCCCAAGGUAACCCUGAGUCUGGCAUAUAUGAAGCAUACUGAAAAUAACUGAGUAAAAAAUAUACUAUGCGGAAGUUAAAAGAGUGGAUAUCUAAAAUUGGGGAAAAACCCAACUAGUCUGAACAUAUAAAGCAUACUAAGAGUUUAGUGAUAACUAAAAACCACUUAACUACUCAAGAUGAAUCUAUUACUAUGUCUGAAAAAAGCCUCUACUAAAUUGAGUUGCUAGGACAUGCCUUCAGUUAACUCUAACUAAACUGAAAACUGGAAAUAAAAACUAAAAUGGAAAGCAUGUCUAUAGUCCUCGAAGUAUGAGGACUCACCACUGAAGCUGCUGAAGUCGGAUCGAGAAUCGGUCUAAGCGUGAUCUGGAUGCUGAGUGCCCUAACUUAUAUCAUGAAAUGAUGUAGCGCAAAGUAUGCGUCAGUACUUGGAAUGUACUGAGCAUGCAAGAUAUAGUUACUAAUCUGAAUAAAAGAUAUAUAAGCUGAACAAUACAUAACUGAGCAAUGAUGUAAUCUAAGAAAAGAUAUAUUUACUGAAAUAUAACUGAAAAACUAAAGUGAAUGCAAUGACUAAGUACUAAUCAUGAAGAUAACAUGUUGAAUUGAUUACUGAAGUAAAUGACGAAAAACUUAGUCAAUGCACCAAGACUCUGACUGUGGGAGCUACUAUUAACCGACAUAAAGCACGUGAGCUAAACGUGGAGUCUGAUGUAUACUCCCCAUCGAGAGGACUCAAUAUACCUUGCCAGGGGUAUAAAGGCAUGACUGUGGUGUGAUCACUAAUAUUCAUGCCCAACAGAGGGGACUUAUAAUCCUACACAAGCAUGUAGUUCUGGGACAAUGAGGGUACGCUGAACCCUAGUCCAACUCGGUGCUAAGUCUACUCCCAACUAAAUACAUACAAAGCUAAAAUGCACUAAAUACUGAAUAGCUCAAAAUACUGACAUGCUAACUGAUAAUGAAACAUUUAUAUACUAAGAAUGUGACAUUCGAAGUCUGGAGUCUGAUUUUCUGUUUAACAGACCUAGUAAGUAUAAUUCAUGAACUAAGAGAAUUUACACAAACUAGGGUUCUGAGUUUUAUACAAGGAAUUAAGCAACAUUUCCAAGAAAAUAUCUUUUUUAGAUUAUGGAUACUAUAGCAGCUGAAAUCACCAUAAUUCCCAAGAUUUUACAAACCCUUGGUCCAAACAAGUUUUAUGGAACAAGGAACUGACUGAUUUCUAGGGAUCUAGUGGAUGAAAGGAAUCCAGUAGUGAAUCCCACAUGCUGGUGACCAAAUAUACGAAUAAAUCCUUUGGAUUUCAGGGCUGAACUUUGAAGAACACUGCUGCUUAAUCUUCAAAGAAACUGGCGCCUCUGUCUUUUAUUUUCAUUCUAAUUUGGAUGAUUUUUGGAGAAUGAGGGUUCUGGGUAUGUCUGAAUAGGUUAUUAGGCCCCGAUUGAGUAAAACGACAUAGUUUAAGUGCCCCAAUCUAUAAGGAAAGGACAAACACGUCCCUACUUUAAAGCUGACAAUGUGCCACUCAAGAGUGGACUGAUGCUUCGUCGUUUGAACCACUGCCCGUCAACUAGGUCAUGGUUCAUGGCCUGCCUGACAGGGCUUCACUAAAAUUAGCAUAACCUUUUACUCCAAUCUUUGAAUUUAGCAAACUUGGUGGCGUUGGAAAGAUGAUUCAAUUAUCUUUAAUUUGAUAGGUAAUGAGCCACUUAAUUUAUUUUGUGCUAAAAUAUAUGACUAUCUGAAGUUGACCCAACAACCAUUUUCCUCUAAAUAGCUGCUGACCCUCACCUACGGCCAGCCGUACAGUCCAUAGGUCUAACCACGAAUCGUACAUGCCGGCCACGGGUGUGAUUUGAGACCACAGAGUCUUGGACCCCAAUGACGAGACCCCACCUAUGGUCCGUGGGUCCAUCAACAGACCGUGGACCACGACCGUAUGUCUCAUCUUUUGAUCCUGAAAUUCCCCUAAGUCUAGGACUCAACGUUGGGACUUUACCUACGGUAUGUGGUCUGACACAUAGUCUGUCGAUGGAUUCCAUUGGUUCUGACACCAGUCCCUGGAAAGCUUGAUUUUUCUAUCUUCUCGAAUCAGAGGUGUUACAAUAUCUCCCCCUUGGGAACAUUCAUCCUCGAAUGAAGUCUAAACAAGUUGAGUAUGGAGGGAAGGAGCUGCAAUCCCUACCACUAAGUACUAGAAACUGAUAUCUAACUGAACUGAGUUCCAUGAACAUGCAAAUAUGCUGAUAUGCAAGAAUAACUGAGGGAAUAAGAGACUGAGACUGAAAUACACAAAAGUAAACUGAGAGACUAGAGAGGAACUAUUACUUCAAGCUGAAACAGAAUAGGAAUAAAAGAGGUGUGGAUACUUGGCUAUCAUGGAUGCUUCUUCUUUCCAAGUAGGUCCUUCUACGGAUUGACUCCUCCACAAAACCUUUAUCGAAGCCACUUCCUUAUUUCUCAACCUACGAACUUGACAAUCAAGAAUUUCAACUGGCACCUCUUCAUAAGUGAGACUAUCCUUCACAACCACACUCUCUAAUGGUACUAUCGAUGCUAGAUCACCCACACACUUUUUCAACAGGGAAAUGUGAAAGAAUAGAUGAACCGCUGCUAGUUUUGUUUGCAACUCUAACUCAUAAGCCACAUUACCAACCUUUUUUUGGAUUUAGUAUGGACCUACAUAUCUGGGACUGAGCUUUCCUUUCUUGCCAAAUCUCAUCACCCCCUUCAUAGGUGACACCGUCAGGAAAACCCAAUCAUCAAUUUCAAACUCUAAGUCCCUUCUCCUCACAUCUGCAUAGGACUUCUGACGACUUUGAGCUGUCUUGAGGCUAUCUCUGAUGAGUUGAAAUUUCUCCAUAGCCUUACGAACGGAAGCUGGCCCAAUCAAGACUGAUUCACCUACUUCAAACCAACCAAUUGGAGACCUGCAUCUACACCCAUAUAGUGCCUCAUACGGGCCCAUCUGAAUACUAGAAUGAAAGCUAUUAUUAUAUGUGAACUCUAUGAGAGGUAGGUGAUCAUCCCAACUACCCUUGAAAUCGAUCACAUAAGCUUUCAACAGGUCCUCUAAGGUCUAAAUGGUACGCUCUGCCUGACCAUCUGUUUGUGGAUGAAAUGUUGUACUGAGAUUUACCUGAGUAUCAAGACCUUUCUAAAAGGAUUUCUAGAAUGAGAGGUAAACUAAGGACCUCUAUCUGAGAUGAUAGACAAGGGAACCCCAUGCAACCUAACUAUCUCAUUGAUGUAGAGUUUGGCAUAGUCCUCCGUUGAAUCUGUAGUCUUGACAGCCAAGAAGUGAGUGGACUUAGUGUCUCUAUCCACUAUCACCCAAAUGGAGUCAUGCUAUCUGCGAGUACGAGGUAAACUCGUAAUGAAGUCCAUGUUUAUCAUUUCCUACUUCCAUGUAGGAAUGUUAAUCUCUUGAGUCAUACCUCCUGGUUUUUGAUGUUCUACCUUAACCUGUUGAUAGUUAGGACACUUAGCCACAAAGUCUACUAUGUCAUUCUUCAUGUCGUUCCAGCAAAAGAAUUUCCUGUAGAUCACGGUACAUCUUAGUGGCAUCUGGAUGAAUGGAAUACCUGGAGUUAUGAACUUCUGUAAGGAUCUGCCGCCUCAACUCACCCAUAUUAGGAACACAUAACCGAUUCUGGUACGAAGCACACCAUCUCCCCCUUGGGAGAAAACCUCAACAUUCUGCUGAUGAACUGUACCUUUCAACUGAAGUAAUAUAGGAUCACUGUCGUGCUUUUCCUUAACCUUCGCUAUCAAUGAAGAUUCUGAUCCAUUCUGAACUAUCACACCACCAUCUGAUGUGUUCGUAAGGCAAACUCCUAAGUGAGCAAGCCGGUGAACAUCUUUGGCUAACUCUUUCUUUUCUUCCUCAACAUGUUCUACACUACCCAUAGACAGUCUGCUGAGAGUAUCAACCACUACAUUGGCCUUACCCGGAUGGUAAAACACAUUCAUGUCAUAGUCUUUGAGGAAUUCAAGCCAUCUCCUAUGACGAAGAUUUAACUCUUUUAAGGUGAACACAUACUGGAGGCUCUUAUGAUCUGUGAACACAUCAACAUGAACACCAUACAAGUAAUGUCUCCAAAUCUUUAGGGCAAAUACUAUGGCUGUAAGUUUAAGGCCAUGAUUCAGGUAAUUCUUCUCGUGGACCUUAACUUGUCUAGAAGCAUAAGCUAUGACCUUACCUCGCUGCAUCAACACACAACCUAGGUCGACCUUAGAGGCAUCACAAUAAAUCACAUAACCAUCUGAACCAUUUGGUAGAGUCAAGACGGGAGCUGUAGUCAACCUAGUCUUUCAGUUUUGAGAAGCUUUUCUCACACUCAUCUAACAAUUGAAAUUUGAACUUCUUCUGAGUCAACUUGGUCAAUGGGGAAGCUAUGGAUGAAAAUCCUUCAACAAACCUCCUGUAAUAACCGGCCAAACCCACGAAACUUUUGAUAUCUGUUGGAGAGAUGGGUCUAGGCCAGUGCUGUAGUGCCUCAAUUUUUGGAGAAUCCAUUCAGAUCCCUUCGCUGGAUACCACAUGACCAAGGAAAGUGAUAGAUUGUAACCACAAUUCACAUUUGGUGAACUUAGCAAAUAGCUGGCGAUCUUUGAGAGUUUGUAGAACAACUCUCAGAUGAGUCGCAUGCUCCUCAUCACUCUGAGAAUAAAUAAGGAUCCAUCAAUAAAGAUGAUAACGAACAAGUCCAAAUAUUGUUUGAACACCCUGUUCAUUAAGUCCAUGAAAGCUGCACGGGAAUUUGUUAGUCCAAAAGACAUAACUACAAAUUCAUAAUGACCAUACCGAGUUCUAAAGACUGUCUUUGGAAUGUCACUAUCUCUGACUCUGAGCUGAUGAUAGAUGGAUAUGAGGUAUGUCUUAGAAAAGUAACUAGCACCCUGAAGUUGGUCAAACAAGUCAUCAAUCCUAGGGAUAUGAUAUUUAUUCUUGAUCGUGACUUUUUUCAACUACUGAUAGUCAAUGCACAUUCGUAGAGAACCAUAUUUCUUGCGCACAAACAACACUGGAGCACCCAAUGGAGAGAUACUGGGUCUGAUGAAGCCUUUAUCUAGAAGGUCUUUCAACUGCUAUUUCAACUUCUUAAGCUCGGCUGGAGCCAAUCUUUAAGGAGGAAUCAAAAUAGGUUGGGUAUCUGGGAGGAGAUCUAUUCUGAAGUCGAUUUCCUUUUCUGGAGGAACUCUGGGAAGAUCUUUUGGAAACUCAUUUACUACUGGGACUGACUCAAGAGUUGGGGUUUCAAAGAAUAAAUCCUUAACUCGAACUAGAUGAUAGAUAUACCCUUUGGAGAUCAUCUUCCUGCCUUAAGGUAAGAGAUAAAUCGACCUAUAGGUAGUGAGCUACUACCCUUCCACUCUAAGACCGGAUCGUUUGGAAACUGAAACCGAACGAUCCUAGUUCUACAAUCGACUUAGGCAUAACAGGAAUGUAACUAAUCCAUGCCUAGAAUGAAAUCGAAAUAUACCAUUUCUAACUCUACAAGAUCUGCUGAGGUGACUUUCUGGAAAAUUAUGACAGGGAAAUUUCUGUAUACCUGUCUAGCUAUACUAGGUCACCAACUGGAGUACAGACUGAGAAGGGUUCUGAGAGAGUUUCUAGACUGACAUCGAAGUUUACUUUUAUAUAGGGAGUUACAAAAGACAGUGUAACCUCUGGAUCUAACAAUGCAUAAACAUCCGAAUGAAAGACUCGUAAUGUUCCAGUGACCACAUCAGGAGAAUCUUCCUGGUCCUGGCUAGCUUGGAGAGCAUACAACCUAUUCUGGCGCUGAUCGCCACCUGUACCAGAUGAGGCACCCUGCUGAGUGAGGCGACCUGCUAGCGCUGUUGAAGUAGUAGACUGAGCCUUGUUACCUCCUUGUCCUUGCCUGGCAGAAGGGAAAUCCCUUAACCUAUGACCAGACUUGACACACCUAAAGCACCCUUCCAUGUUUUCCAGACACUCGCCCGGAUGGUUCUGACCACACUUUGGGCAAGUUGGUAAAGUUCUGUUACAUGAAGUGCUAUCCUCUGACUUAGAGCCUCAUGCCCUACCUUUCAGAUCCUGUCCAAAUCUGGGGAUGAAGCACUAGCUGAUGAAGGUGCUAGGGUUGUAGUCCUUUGCUGAAACUAUGAGUGAUUCCCACCGCCCGACUUUUGUUGUGAGUAUUCAUAAUUUCCUAUUCUGGCCUUUUUGUUAUCCUUAAUCAUUUCCCUAAGAUUAUCUCCCUCAACCUGCUGAGCAUUAGUCAUUAUUCUGGAGAUAGCCAUAUCCCCUAGAAGCAUAACAUUCCUGCACUCGGUCUCACCAGAUCAGAUACCCCAAACAAGAACUUACUCAUUUGUGCCCUUGGAUCGGCAACUAUGUGGGGAGCAUACCUGGAGAUCUGGGUGAACUUCACCUCAUAUUCUUGGACCGACAUUGAACCCUACUUCAAGUUCAAAAACUCUUGUGCCUUAGCUUCUCUCAACUCCCUUGGGAAGAACCUGUCUAGGAAAGCUCCUAUAAAACAAUCCCAAGUUACAAGAGCUGCAUCUGCACUCCUCUUAUCUUUCCACUGCAUGAACCAAAUAUGAGCAACAUUCUUGAGUUGAUAGGAUGCUAACUCAACACUCUCAGUACCAGUCACUUGCAUUACUCGAAGAAUCUUGUUAACCUCAUCAACGAAGUUCUGUGGGUCCUCACCAACCUUUGACCCUAGAAAUUCUAGCAAUUCAUAGGAGCAAAGUCUCAAACCCUAGAUGUAGCUGAUCCACCAUUAAUGUUUGUAGAAACUGUAGCCUGGUGAUUGUUUUGAUUGGCCACACUCUGAUCCAAGAGUUGGAUCGCAUUUUGAAAUUCUGCAUUCGUAACCUCAUGGUUCGGGAUGGGAGUCUUGAACCUAAUUCUCUGAUACCAAGUUUUUCACGUCUCGAGGCUACCACUAGACGUAACACAGGACCUAGGAUCACGAGUGACCCCAAGCUAACUCUAAGUCUGACAUAUAUCAAGCAUACUGAAAAUAACUGAGUAAAACAUAUACUAUGCGGAAGCUAAAAUAGUGAAUAUCUGAAAUGGGGAAAACCCAACUAGUCUGAAUAUAUAAAACUUACUAAGAGUUUAAUGAUAAAUGACAACCACUUAAAAACUCAAGAUGGAUCUAUUACUAUAUCUGAAAAACCUCUACUGAAUUGAGUUGCUGGGACAUGCCCCCAGUUAACUCUAACAAAACUUAAAACUGGAAAUAAAAACUAAAAUGGAAAGCAUGUCUUUGUCCUUGAAGUAUGAGGACUCACCACUGAAGCUACUGAAUUCGGAUCGAGAAUUAGAUCUAAGCGUGAUCUAGAUGCUGAGUGGCUGAACCUAUAUAAUGAAACGAUGUAGUGCAAAUUAUGCGUUAGUACUUGGAAUGUACUGAGCAUGCAGGAUACAGACACUAAGAUGAAUAAAAAAUAUAUAAGCUGAAUAAUACAUAACUGAGCAAUGAUGUAACGUGAGCAAAUAUAUAAAUACUGAAAUAUAACUGAAAAACUAAACUGAAUAUAAUGACCAAGUACUAAUCAUGAAGAUAACAUGCGGAACUGAUUACUAAAGUAAAUGCUGAAAAACCUGGUCAAUGUACUAAAAGUUUGACUGUGGGAGCUACUAUUAACCGACAUAAACCACGUGACCUAAAUGAAGAGUCUGAUGUAUACGCCUCAUCGAGAGGACCCAAUAUACCUUGCAGGGGUAUAAAGGCAUGACUGUGGCGUGAUCACUAAUAUUGAUGCCCAACAGAAAGGACUUAUAAUCUUACGCAGGCACGUAGCUCUUGGACUAUGAGGGUACGCUGAACCCUAGUCCAACUCGGUGCUAAUUCUACUCCCAACUGAAUACAUACAGAGCUAAAAUGCACUAAAUACUGAAUAGCUCAAAAUACUGACAUGCUAACUGAGAAUGCAACAUUUAUAUACUGUGAAUGUGACAUUUGAAAUUUGGAGAAUGAUUUUCUGUUUAACUAACCUAGUGUAUAUAGUUCAUGAACUAAGAUAAUUUACAUAAACUAGGGUUCUGAGUUUUAUACAAUGAAUUAAGCAAUGUUUCAAAGAAAAAAUGUUAUUUAGAUUAUGGAUACUAUAGCAGCUGUAAUCACCAUAAUUCCCAAGAUCUUACAAACCCUAGGUCUAAACAAGUUAUGUGGAAUCAAUGAACUGACUGAAUUCUAGGGACCUAGUGGAUGAAUGGAACCCACUAGUGAAAUCCACAUACCUGGUGACGAAAUCUACGGAGAAAUCCUUUGGAUUUCGGCGUUGAACUUUGAAGAACACUACUGCUUGUUGUUGAAAGAAACUGGUGCCUUUUUCUCUUCUUUUCGUAUAAUUUGGAUGAUUUUUGGAGAAUAAGGGUUCUGGGUAUGUCUAACUAGGUUAUUAGGCUUAGACUGAGUAACAUGGCAUAGUUUAGGCAUCAUCGACGUAGUUUAAGUGCCCCAAUGCAUAGGGAAAGGACAAAAAUGACCCUAACUUAAAGCUGCUGAAGUGCCACUCACGAGUGGACUGACAGGAUGUAUUUGAAUCACUGCCCAUCAACGGGGUCAUGGUUCGUGGCCUACUUGACAGGGCUUCACUAAAACGAGCAUAACUUCUUACUUCAAACUUGGACUUUAGCAAACUCAUUGGCGUUGAAAAGAGGAUUCAAUAAUCUUUAAUUUGAUAGGUCAUGGGCCACCUAAUUCAUUUUGUGCUAAAAUAUAUGACUUGUUUGAAGUUGACCCAAUAAUCAUUUUCCUCUAAAUAGCUGCUAACCCUUUCCUACGGCCAGACCUACGGUUCGUAGGUCUAACCACAGACCGUACAGGUCGGUCGUAGGUGGGAUUAGAGACCACUAAGUCUUGGACCCCAAUGAUGGGACCCCAUCUAUGGUCUGUGGGUCCAUCAACGGAUCGUGGACCACGACUGUAGGUCUCAUCUUUUGAUGCUAAAAUUCCCUUUAAGUUUGGGACUCAACAAUGGGAUCCCACCUAUGGUCUGUGGUCUGACACACGGUCCGUCGGUGGCUUCCGUUGGUUCUGACACCAGAUCCUAGAAAGCUGCCUUUUCCAUCUUCUCGAAUUAGAGGUGUUGCAAAAACAAUAACCUCAAACCCAAAUAACAUCAAUUGCCUUGCAGCCGCUAACCCAGAAAGACGUACCCCGAUAAAAAUCAGUCUGCCUUUACUUGGCUCAGCUGGAAUCCUAAUUUUGAUGGCAAUGCCACCACAAAAGUAAUAUACCUAUAUGAUAACUAAUAGUUAUAGGCUGAAUCCAAUAACCCACUACAACAUUUAGGUAUAACAUCACCAAACAUACCCUUCGUCACCCAAAUCGACAUAUUUUCAUGCCAUUUUGUAAUAAUGUGAUUCCUAAUUAUAAUAUAGUAACAUUGUUCUAUCCCGCCAACUAUACUAACAACCCCAACUUCACUUACUUCAUCUAUUAACGAGUCAUACGCAAACCCAUCCAUUAACGUGACUAAAGCCUCAUAAGUUGGCUCUUUAUUUAAACAAAUAAUCUCAUCCGAAACAACCCCCUUUCUCGAAUUCUUACAUCUAACCACUUUAGAAUCAACAUUUCUAAAAGAAAAAUCUGAUUUUUUCACUCGGGUUUUGCUAACUUUACCUGAAGAAGAUGAAGAAACCAAUGCAGACUGUUAUUCAUAUAUAUUACCGAGAAAACCACUGGAUACCUAAUCCAAAAACUGUUUACUAUCUGCCCUACCUUGUCUUCUCUUCAUGGGUAUAGAGAUAUGAUGGAAUUGUUUUGGGAUUGAACCAGAAUUAGGGUUAGGAUUAGAAUUUCGGAAGUGAAUUGAAAUUGGGAGUAAAACUAUUGUUCAUGUUUGAGUUAGACAAAUGAAUUGGGAAUUGGGAAUUGGAGAGGAAUUUUAUUGAUCUAAAUUUAAGCAUUGGUGAUAAAAUUGGGGUUGGUGUCACUAGCUCUAUUUCUACCCGUCUAAAUUCUAGUAUUGGAGGAAUAAUAUUGAAUGAUGGUAGCUCUAUCCAUGCUUCAACUACUUUUGAAGAUAGCAUGGGUACAUGUGCUCUGUCUUUCAGCGCAAAUCAUGGGGGUUGGUAAAAGACGAUAUUGAAGAAAUUCACGUUGAUGUUACAUGUACUCGAUAAAUACAUCCAUGUCAAUUUCCUGUAUGUGCACUUUUUCUGAAAUAACUCGUUAAAGAUUUCUACAACAGCUCAUUCUGCACUCUCUCAAGAAAUUUAGUCUCACUACUAAAGUGAAGAUGAUGAGGUUCUUCGUUGUCCUCUUUUUUUUUUUAUAGCAUAGUCAAUGAGAACUAUAAUAUAUUUUGUGUUAUUGCACUGUAAGAGCUCUGUUUUAAAAAACACCUAGAUUUAUGACGGUGUGAUUACAGUUAACAGAUCUGAUUAUCAACCUUGAUGCUGUGGCUUGCAGGUGAUUAGAAUCAAAUUAUAGGUGACAAUCAACUCUUUUGCUCAUUGUCUCCAAGGUCUAUACAUAUUUAAAUAAUCAAACAGUGGGUUGAAACUGGAGGAAGAAAGACCCGAUUUAAUAGGUAAGUUCUUGGUGAAACUCUUUCUCCCUAGUCCAAGUGAGAGGAAAAUGAAAUUAGUGCACUGAUAGCGAAUAUCGACCCACAAAAGUGUAUUUGAGCAGUUCUUUCUUUUUAUAAUGAGGAUCGAACUAUGUACUUUAAUAUUGUGCAUGUCAAUCCAUGAGAAAGAUUUUUCUAUUGCUAGCAGAUUAACAGGUAACGAAGUCCUUUUACAUAUAUGCUCAAUAAUGAUAAAGAGCACAUUCAGCGCACUCUUCAAUGGGAGUCCUUUCAGAUCUUGAACGUGCCACACAUAAUGUGCUCUCUAUCAUUAUUGACCAUAUAUGUAAAAAGACUUUGUUACCUGUUAAUCUUCUAACAAUAGCAAAAUCUUUCUCAUGGAUUGACAUGCACAAUAGAAAAGUACAUAGUUUGAUCCUCAUUAGAAAAAUAAUGAACUGCUCGAAUAAUAUUUUGUGGAUCGAUAUUCGCUAUCAGUGCAUUAAUUUCAUUUUCCUCUCACUUGGACAAGGGAGAAAGAUCUUCACCAAGAACUUAGAUACCUAUUAAAUCGAGUCCUUUCUUCCACCAGUUUCAACCCACUGAUCGAGUUGUUAAAUAUGUACAACUCUUGGAGACAAUGAGCAAAAGAGUUGAUUGUCACCUAUAAUCUGAUUCUAAUCACCUGCAAGCCAGAUCUGUUAACUGUAAACGCACCUUCAUAAAUCUAGGUGCUUUUUAAAACAUAACUCUUACAACACAAUCACACAAAAUAUAUUGUAAUUCUCAUUGACUAUGCUGUAAAAAAGAGGACAACGCAGUAUCUCAUCAUCUUUACUUUAGUAGUGAGACUAAAUUUCUUGAGAAAGUGCCAUAUGAGUUGUUGUUGAACUCUUUAACACGUUAUUUCAGAAAAAGUUCGCAUACAUGAAUUGACAUGAAUCUAUUUAUUGAGUAGAUAUAACAUCAAUGCGAAUUUCAUCAAUAUCAUCUUUUACCAAGCACCAUGAUUUGAGCUGAAAGACAAAGCAUAUGCACCCGUGCUAUCUUCAAAAGUAGUUGAAGCAUGGAUAGAGCUACCAUCAACCAAUAUUCUUCCUCCAACACUAGGAUUAAGAGGGGUAGAAAUAGAGCCAAUGACUCAAACCCCAAUUUUAUCACCAAUGCUUGAAUUUAGAUAAAACAAUUCCUCUCCGAUUCCCAAUUCAUUUGUCUAAUUAAAACCAGAACAGUAGUUGUACUACCAAUUUCAAUUCACUUCCAAAAUUCUAAUCCUAACCCUAAUUCCGGUUCAAUCCCAAAAUAAUUCCAUCAUAUAUCUAUCCACAUGAAGAGAAGACAAGGUAGGCUAGAUAGUAAACAUUCUUUGGAUCAGGUCUCCAGUGGUUUUCUUGACAAUAUCAAUGAAGAACAAUCGAUAUUGGUUUCUUUAUCUCGUUCAGUUAAAGUUAGCAAAACCCGAGUGCAAAUUUUAGAUUUUUCUUAUAUAAAUGUUGAUUCUAAAGUGGUUAGAAGUAAGAAUUCGAGAAGGGGAGUUGUUUAGGAUGAGAUUGUUUGUUUAAAUAAAGAGCCAACUUCUGAGGCUUUAGUUGCAUUAAUGGAUGGGUUUCCGUCUGACUCGUUAACAGAUGAGGAAAUGGAAGUUGAAGUUGUUAGUGUAGUUAGCGGGAUAAAACAAUGUAACUAUAUUUUAAUUAGGAAUCACAUUAUUACAAAAUGGCGUGAAAACAUGUCGAUUUGGGUGAAGAAGGAUAUGUUUGGUGAUGUUAUACCUAAACGGUGUAGUGGGUUAUUGGAUUCUGCCUAUAAAUUUUUGUUAUCAUACGCGUAUAUUAAUUUUGGGGUGGCGCUGGCUAUCAAGAAUAGGAUUCCAGCUGAGCCAAGUAAAGACAGUGAUUUUUAUCUAGGCAGGUCUUGCUGGGUUGGCGGCUGCAAGGAAACUGAUGUUAUUUGGGUUUGAGGUUAUUGUUUUGGAGGGAUGAAAGCGUAUAGGUGGAAGGUGUAUAAAAAAAAUAUGGAAGGAGGGAAUAAGGUGAAAGUUGCUGAUCUAGGAGGGAGUGUUUUGACUGGCAUGAAAAUUGCAGUAUACACUUCAUAAGAUGAGCGACCAAUGUCCACUCUAUCGUGUUGAUGGAAAGUCCGUAGAUGAGUAUUUGGAUGAAAAAUUAGAUGCUGCUUACAACGAACUUUUGGAAAAGGAAAGCAAGGUCAGACAAAAGUUAUCCUAGGUUGCUUCUCUUGGAGAGGAAUCAAAGACUUUGUGAAAGGAUUUUGGUAUUGCAAUGAAUGAUGAGGAGAUGAGCUUGUUUAACUAGUAUCUGGCAAAUUUUAAAUAUGCAAAUGUAGGUUUUCUUUCACAACAUUCCUUAGCAUUUUGGGACCAAGAUUACCCCAAAUUUUGAACAUGGGAGGGGAUCAUUACUUCUUUCCGGUGGAAAUGGAAGAUUAGUUCAUGCCCUAACUGAAAAUGUGCCUAAUAUUUUUGAAAAAACUACGCAUGCCAUUCGUUAUAGUAGAGAUAGUGUGAAGAUGAUUACUAUGGGCCAAUUGUUUCAGAGAUAUAUGGCAUUGUACACCAUUCCUCUUAGAGUUUUGAAGAGUGGUUCUAUUAGGUUCAUUCCAGAGUUCCCUCAACAAAACGUGUACACAAUAAAAGAUUGGGUUUUGGACUGUUAAAUAAGGUUGCAAUGGUAUUUCCGUAUGUGUUUUGGAACUCCAAUGUUGAUAUAUUUGGUCAUGUUGUUGAUGAUUCUAGUUGUCGGGAUGAUGGAAAGCCUGUAGACAAGCAUUUGGAUAAAAAAGUGGAGGAUGCUUAUAAUGUACUUUGGGAUUAGGCAAGCAAGCUCCAAGAAGUUUUCUCAUGGAAGCACAUAUCCAUAUAGUCAUUACAAGAAUAUUAAAACUUAGAGAAAGUGAGUUCCCUUAUCACAAACUAGUAGAAGGGUCAAUUUCUUACUUGCCGGAGUCCAGAUGCGUAGAGUUAAAACAAUUCGCAGUUACAUUAGUUGUGAUAUCCCCAACAGAUAACGUGGUUCCAUUGCCUCUGCCAAAUUUUUUAGCCUUUCUGAGAAACAAGUUUUAAAGGGGAUCCGUUGAUGAGUCUUGGAUAUAGACUCAUUUAGGGCCUGUUAUACAUCGUUUAGUGUCCUCAAUACCUAUUUUGUGUUCUAAACUGAUGUUUUAAUGUUAAUAUGCAGAUAUAAAGGCAAAAGAGCAAGGCAAGGACAAAACUAGGGAAAAAGAUGAAAAAGGCUGAAGAUAGUGA
rnacentral:lncRNA from 1 species